UGAGUGCGAGCGGCUACGGCCGCGAAGUGGGUGAUGUCAAGCUUCCAAGAAAAGCCCUAUACCCGUUAAGGCAUGAUGGCCUGUACCCGAAACCGACACAGGUGGGGUGGUAGAGAAUACCGAGGGGCGCGAGGUAACUCUCUCUAAGGAACUCGGCAAAAUGGCCCCGUAACUUCGGGAGAAGGGGUGCCACCGCAAGGUGGUCGCAGUGAAGAGGCCCAGGCGACUGUUUACCAAAAACACAGGUCUCCGCUAAGUCGCAAGACGAUGUAUGGGGGCUGACGCCUGCCCAGUGCCGGAAGGUUAAGGAAGCUGGUCAGCGCAAGCGAAGCUGGCGACUGAAGCCCCGGUGAACGGCGGCCGUAACAAUAACGGUCCUAAGGUAGCGAAAUUCCUUGUCGGGUAAGUUCCGACCCGCACGAAAGGCGUAACGAUCUGGGCGCUGUCUCGGAGAGAGGCUCGGCGAAAUAGAAUUGUCUGUGAAGAUGCGGACUACGUGCACCCGGACAGAAAGACCCUAUGAAGCUUUACUGUAGCUUGGUAUUGUGCCCGGGCUCUGAAUGCGCAGGAUAGGUGGGAGGCUUUGAUCCAUGGCUUGCGGGUCAUGGUGAGCCAACGGUGAGAUACCACUCUUUCAGAGCUAGGGUUCUAACGGUCACCCGUCAUCCGGGGACCGGACAGUAUCAGGUGGCAGUUUGACUGGGGCGGUCGCCUCCUAAAAGGUAACGGAGGCGCGCAAAGGUUUGCUCAGGCUGGUUGGAAAUCAGCCGACGAGUGCAAAAGCAGAAGCAAGCUUGACUGUGAGACCUACAAGUCGAACAGGGACGAAAGUCGGCUUUAGUGAUCCGACGGUUCUGAGUGGAAGGGCCGUCGCUCAACGGAUAAAAGUUACUCUAGGAUAACAGGCUGAUCCCCCCCAAGAGUUCACAUCGACGGGGAGGUUUGGCACCUCGAUGUCGGCUCAUCGCAACCUGGGGCUGAAGUCGGUCCCAAGGGUUGGGCUGUUCGCCCAUUAAAGCGGUACGCGAGCUGGGUUCAGAACGUCGUGAGACAGUUCGGUCCAUAUCCGGUGCAUGCGCAGGAACAUUGAGAGGAUCUCUCCCUAGUACGAGAGGACCGGGAGGAACGCACCUCUGGUGUGCCAGUUAUCGUGCCAACGGUAAACGCUGGGUAGCCAUGUGCGGAGUGGAUAACCGCUGAAAGCAUCUAAGUGGGAAGCCCACCUCAAGAUGAGUGUUCCCAUGGCAUAAGCCAGUAAGGUCACGGGAAGAACACCCGUUGAUAGGCUCUACGUGGAAGCCGGGUAACCGGUGAAGCGGAGGAGUACUAAUAGACCGAGGGCUUGACC
rnacentral:rRNA from 1 species